UAGGGAAUCUUCCACAAUGGACGCAAGUCUGAUGGAGCAACGCCGCGUGAGUGAAGAAGGUCUUCGGAUCGUAAAGCUCUGUUGUUGGUGAAGAAGGAUAGAGGCAGUAAAUGGUCUUUAUUUGACGGUAAUCAACCAGAAAGUCACGGCUAACUACGUGCCAGCAGCCGCGGUAAUACGUAGGUGGCAAGCGUUGUCCGGAUUUAUUGGGCGUAAAGCGAGCGCAGGCGGAAUGAUAAGUCUGAUGUGAAAGCCCACGGCUCAACCGUGGAACUGCAUCGGAAACUGUCAUUCUUGAGUGCAGAAGAGGAGAGUGGAACUCCAUGUGUAGCGGUGGAAUGCGUAGAUAUAUGGAAGAACACCAGUGGCGAAGGCGGCUCUCUGGUCUGCAACUGACGCUGAGGCUC
rnacentral:rRNA from 1 species